rnacentral:misc_RNA from 1 species
GAUGAAGAACGCAGCGAAAUGCGAUAAGUAAUGCGAAUUGCAGAAUUCCGUGAAUCAUCGAAUCUUUGAACGCACAUUGCGCCCUUUGGUAUUCCUUAGGGCAUGCCUGUUCGAGCGUCAUUUAAACCUUCAAGCUAAGCUUGGUGUUGGGUGACUGUCCGCUUCACGGCGGACUCGCCUCAAAAUUAUUGGCGGCCGGUACAUUGGCUUCGAGCGCAGCAGAAACGCGAACUCGGGCCCGUCGUAUUGGCUCCCAGAAGCUAUCUUCACAAUUUUGACCUCGGAUCAGGUAGGGAUACCCGCUGAACUUAAGCAUAUCAAUAAGCGGAGGA